rnacentral:rRNA from 1 species
CCGAGUUGUAAUUUGUAGAGGAUGCUUCGGGAGUAGCCGCGGUCUAAGUCCCCUGGAACGGGGCGUCGCAGAGGGUGAGAAUCCCGUCUUCGGCCGGCCGGCUGCGCCCGUGUGAAGCUCCUUCGACGAGUCGAGUUGUUUGGGAAUGCAGCUCUAAAUGGGUGGUAAAUUUCAUCUAAAGCUAAAUACAGGUCGGAGACCGAUAGCGCACAAGUAGAGUGAUCGAAAGAUGAAAAGCACUUUGAAAAGAGAGUUAAACAGCAUGUGAAAUUGUUGAAAGGGAAGCGUUUGCGACCAGAGUCGGCCGCCGGGGUUCAGCGGGCUCUCGGGCCCGUGCAUUUCCCGGUGGUCGGGCCAGCGUCGGUUUGGGCGGUCGGUCAAAGGCUCCUGGAAUGUAGCGCCCUCCGGGGCGUCUUAUAGCCAGGGGUGCAAUGCGGCCCGCCCGGACCGAGGAACGCGCUUCGGCACGGACGCUGGCUUAAUGGUCGUAAGUGACCCGUCUUGAAACACGGACCAAGGAGUCUAACAUCCACGCGAGUGUUCGGGUGUCAAACCCGUCCGCGCAGUGAAAGCGAACGGAGGUGAGAGCCUCUCGCAAGAGGGGUGCAUCAUCGACCGAUCCUGAAGUCUUCGGAUGGAUUUGAGUAAGAGCGUGGCUGUGGGGACCCGAAAGAUGGUGAACUAUGCCUGAAUAGGGUGAAGCCAGAGGAAACUCUGGUGGAGGCUCGCAGCGGUUCUGACGUGCAAAUCGAUCGUCAAAUUUGGGUAUAGGGGCGAAAGACUAAUCGAACCAUCUGGUAGCUGGUUCCUGCCGAAGUUUCCCUCAGGAUAGCAGUAACGUUUUCAGUUUUAUGAGGUAAAGCGAAUGAUUAGAGGCCUUGGGGUUGAAACAACCUUAACCUAUUCUCAAACUUUAAAUAUGUAAGAAGCCCUUGUUGCUUUAGUGAACGUGGGCAUUUGAAUGUAUCGUUACUAGUGGGCCAUUUUUGGUAAGCAGAACUGGCGAUGCGGGAUGAACCGAACGUGAGGUUAAGGUGCCGGAAUACACGCUCAUCAGACCCCACAAAAGGUGUUAGUCCAUCUAGACAGCCCGACGGUGGCCAUGGAAGUCGGAAUCCGCUAAGGAGUGUGUAACAACUCACGGGCCGAAUGAACUAGCCCUGAAAAUGGAUGGCGCUUAAGCGUGUUACCUAUACCUCGCCGUUAGGGUAGAAACGACGCCCUAACGAGUAGGCAGGCGUGGAGGUCCGUGACGAAGCCCGAGGCGUGAGCCUGGGUCGAACGGCCUCUAGUGCAGAUCUUGGUGG